GACGAACGCUGGCGGCGUGCUUAAUACAUGCAAGUAGAACGCAGUUGCGAACGGGUGAGUAACGCGUAGGUAACCUGCCUCUUAGCGGGGGUCAACUAUUGGAAACGAUAGCCAAUACCGCAUACUGUGAGAUGGACCUGAGUUGUAUUAGCUCGUUGGUGUGUUAAAGGCUCACUAAGGCGACGACACAUAGCCGACCUGAGAGGGUGUUCGGCCACACAGGGACAGAGUGACGGGCCAGACUCCUACGGGGGGCAGCAGUAGGGAAUCUUCGGAGAUAGACGUGAGUAUGAUCGAGCAACGCCGGGUGAGUUAAGAAGGUUUUCGGAUCGUAAGGCUCUGGUUUUAGAGAAGCGGUAACUAACCAGAAAGGGACGGCUAACUACGUGCCAGCAGCCGCGGUAAUAC
rnacentral:rRNA from 1 species